UCACAGCUUCACUUCACUAAAUGUGUGAUCAAUGUGACUUGUGAUGCGUACAAAACUUUGCAACUUCCUUGUGUUUUGGCUCAGUAUUAGUCAGCUCAUCGUUUCUGUGGUCAAAUCUGCAACUUUUCAGCUUCCCCUUAGCACGGAGGUGACCGGUUUAGUCAGGGAUAGGAAACUAGAAGAUUGGCAGCUGCGUCAUGAGGCAGAGGAGUCAGUCUGCCUUGCCUGGAUGUCAGCAGACUGCGUAAACGGCUACUGCUGCAAACCCGUCUACCUCCCCUUGGAUGAGUAUUGGCAGUCACUGUGCAUGCUCUCUGUGCAUGCUGAGAGAGAGAUAGGCUACCCUGCCAUCCUCAGCUCAGGUCCCAAUCAGCCACCUCUGCACACAGCAACCGCCGCUUUCCAAGUCCAGCAGCAGCUCACAUCAGUGCCAGUGCAACAUGUGUACACCAAUCAAGUGCAGUAUGUUGAAGGAGAAGACAACAACUACACCACCAGCACCAUGUUAGAAUGAACCUCAUUUUCUAACACUUGUCCACACAGAAUUAUUGUUUUCUUUGUCUUACUUCUUUCUUCGGCUGC